ensembl:lncRNA
CUUACUGGUUUUGUUGUUUUCACUUUACAUUUACACUUCCAGUUUAGUGCAGUGUAAUUGUUUGCCGUGACAAUUAAAUCAAUCUAAAUUGAAAUUAUCAUUUCCUAUUGUUUCCUUUUAAAUCUAAUCUGAAAUUGACCAGAUGUAGUCUUGUGAUUGAGAUUUUGAAGGAAAUUGACUCAUGUAUGGUAUUUUGAGAGGCUUUUAUUUUGGAAUGGUAUAUCAAAAUGUUCUGGUACCUUGGUGCUGUGUACUUCCUGUCUGAAGUGAAAUGAGCAUGUAACUAUUGAUCGUUUCCUUUUAAAUGUAAUCUGAAAUUAACCAGAAGUUGGCUGGUGAAUGAGAUUUAAGAGAAAUUUUGGUAAUGUAUGACAUGUUGCGUUGUUCCACAUGGUUAAUGACGACUGACUCUCGGACGCCUAGUCCGACAGCCGCAGGAGUUCUUGGCAUGCAUUUCUAGCCAUCCGGCCAGUGCCCCAACAUGCGGAGUAUUGCAGCUUUAAUUCUUUUUCUUCUUCCUUUUUACUCUUUAUCCUUUGUUCUCUAUAUUAUUACGUUCUUUCAUAUAUUUUCUACCAGUAUGAAUAUAUUUUUCUAAUAAAAAUGUUUAACAUGAUACAACUAAAAGUCCUGAAUUCAAAAUAUUGUGUAUACAAUAGUGUUUACAAUCAAGAAGAGUACUCGGAGUGGCACAUGACUACAUAUACUUAUAAUACGUAUUGUAAUUAUUAGUAAUUUAGUGGGAUGCAAAAUGCAUUUCUAUGUUGUAGCCGGCUGCAGUAGAAUGCAUACAACAUGUUUAAUAAGUUUGCGUGGCUAAAUGUAGUAAAUAAAAUUUAUUUGAUAUACUCAUAAUUCCCAGUGAGGAAACUUUGCCACCAAACAAUGAAAAACAAUUACAAUACCUCAACAUUGUAAUUAAUUACAGUACUUAACUUGUAUCCAUCACUGCUUGUUUGUCCUCCCCUUCAAUGUCCUUAACUUUGAGGCCCCAAUAUAAACAACAUUAUGUUUAGUUGAUUUAGUUGAAUUUUGAGGCGAGAGGGAAAAGCAUGGUGAGUGAGGUUGAGCUCUCUCCCUCACCGCCAAAUUCCUUGUCUCAAAUAUUUUUUCCUCAUUUCCAACAAAGAGACACAUUCGCUUAUUAUCUUCAUCUCCCUUUUUUCACUCCAGUAUGAAAGUUAUGCUAUAUUACUUCAAUAAUAAAACUUAACAAAACCUGCAAAGCUGCAAAUACUGCAAAGCCAGCAGGAAAAUUCAUGGACAUUCAGUAAUACAUUUAUUAUGAAUCAAACCUUUGAAUUCUACUAAUAUUCUUAAGGUUGUACAUGUAUUCUCUCCACAAUAUACACACCAACACAAACAGAACAUUACAUUUGUGUUACACACAUCAAUUAAAAAUCUUAACAAAAGCUAUAAAUUGAGUAAAUUAACCCCACAGAGAUAAAGCUGUGUCCAUUCUAAAAAUCAAUAAUCCGUUUAUGAAUAUGUUAUUAAUAAAGGAGUUAAGCCGCAUAUAUAUUUCAUGAGAGAGGAGGGGAGCGUCUCCCUGAGGCCGCAAGGGUUUACUCCAUAUCAUUCAUUUAUAAUUAAUCUGCACCACUUGGGAUUUAGUGAAUUAGGAAUCCCGCAACAGACGUGAGCUCUGUUCUGUUCUAUCAUUUGCAGCUCUGGAACAUGGGAGGUCCUUCUCUCACUGCUGCUAUUAAAGAAAAAGGAGGAGGGAGAGACAGCAAAUGUAGUUGAAAUUUAUCCAACCAGAAUAAAGGGAGACAGUCCCACCAACAUACUGGAACGAAAGGCCAAAUGAUUUAAUCCCAUUUGUCGACAUUUUGUUAAACGUACUGCACAUCAUAAUAUUCAUCUGCAAAACCUUUUCCUUAGACUCAAAGGGCAAUAGCAUAUCUUUUCAUUUCCAUGUGUAAUUAUCUACAUUUCAAUGGUACACUUCUUUAACUAAUAUUUUUAUUGAAAUAUUUUUGUUUUAUUAAUACUAUUAUUAUUAUUUUGAAGAAUGGUAUUUGUUCUUAUGUUUCAUUAUGACUUUUGUAGUACAUUUUUAUAAAAUUCUAUACAAAGAGGAGAGCAAGAGAGGAGCGUCCCCAGUAAUAGUAAUAGAAAUAGUAAACAAUAAUAGUAGUUUAAUGUGGUACCUGGCAUGGCAGGAGGCACAGAACAAUUAAGGUACCACAAGCCGCAGAAAUCAGUUGAUGAAGAAAACAUAGGGCCAGUAGUGUUAUCCAUUUCUUAUCUUUUUAAAAUUGGUAACUUUUUCAAAAUGACAAGCUUUUAAUAUUCAAUGGAGACAAACUUCAUUUUUUUUUGCAGAGAUGGUUAGGGGCACCUAUUUCAGCCCUUCAGUGGUUUAGAAAACAAAGACAGGGCCUUAUUGUCUCCUGAAUUCUAAACCUAGUGAUGUUCUCAUGGUGGCAAUUAAUUCAGAAAACUUGGAUAUUGGGCUGAUGGCCAUGGUCUAACUAAAUAACCUAAAAUGUUAAGUUUGAACUGAGCGUAAACUCUUUUGACAUUGCAUUUAGUUGGGCCUACAUCAGACAGGCAAGCCCCACCCCCACCCCCCCCACCACACACACACACACACACACACAGACAUACAGAUUGGGUCCAGCCUGCUAUUGUCCCUGGUUAAUCGGGGGUGGACUGACAUUCCUGUCAAUUUCCCCCAAAAACAAAAGACUUGCUCCAGCUGUAUCAGUGCAGCAUCUCGCCGGCAGCACCAGGCCAGCCAGACAAGCGGGAAGAAAGGCCUGAUUGCUGCCUGAUGGCUGCAGGCGAGGAGAAAGACACUGCUGACAAAUGCUUUAAUUACUUCAUCAACUUCCUUUCCCAAUUAACCUUACAUGCCACCUCCCAGGUAAGCCAGCCGGGAACGAUGAGCGGUGCAGGACUGUGGCACCGGCAACUCCUCAUUAACCAGAAAAAAAACUAAAGAGUCAGAGAAAAGAUGAGCUGAAGAAAAAUUAAGAGUCCUGGAGACAAUAGGUUCCCCCAGCUCUUAAAAAAGCAUGAAGGCAUGGAGAAAAUGACCAGAUAACAUUGUCGUUAUCAUGCAUCCAGAGAUUUCCACCAAUCACCGUUUUUAUUACCAAACAAAAUGGUCUCGGCCCAAUUAAUACACUGUUUGACAUAUCUUUAAUCCAUCCUUCAUUUGCAUUUUCAAUUCCUCAAAAUAUAUUUUCUUUGUCUCUCCAUCUGUUGGCUUGACCAGCACAUCACUGAUAGAGAGGAAGUCGGGAGAACACGGGAAAGGAAGAGAGAGACUAAAUGAAGGGAAAUGCGAUUGUGGCGUCAGCGGAGACCCAGAACAAGGUCCUUUCUCAUCAGUUCAUUAAAAGCGGUAGCACAGGCUAGUCUAGUCACCUUGAUACUGUUAGCAGAGCAUUUGGCUAGUGUUUCAAGAAGAAAAUCUAAGAUUGUUUUAUUGCAUUUUGACAAUAUAUUUUAGUAUCUGGUGAAAUAAAGUAGUGUUAAUAAAAAUGUGAUUUCAACAAAAAAGUCAGUAUGAGCAGCCAAGUUCAAAAAAAGUGGAGAAUAAAAGGUAUGACUAGAAGAUAAAUAAGAAAAUGAUGAAAUGUUAAAUUAAUAUGUAUAGGAUAUUUUGAGAACGAUGUAGAAAAUACAUUAUAGAUAUGUAUAAUGACACAUGUGUGAUACUGUUUACUACAACAUUUGGAAAAUUAUUAUUUUUGAUGAGGGUGGGGAAAUAUCAUAUGGAUAUCAUAUGGAGCAUAUGGAUCUGCCAUCAUAACCCUCCAAACACACACAUGUGCAUCAGCACGUGCACAUGCAUCCCCUCAUUAAAACUUUAAAUGAAAAAUCUGGGAAGGAAAGUGUUAAUCAGAUGGUUAAUUAGCAUCCCCCAAUCCUCUAAAUGUAUUGAACUAGUUGAGAGUUGGUGUUUUUCAAUCUGGGAGGAGGUGCAGGCUUUUUCAGCACUAGUUGAAAUGUUAAUUAUGACCCUGGCAAGAGUACUGAAACAUCAAGGAUUGGAGUAGAAUGGGAGGGCAAAUACAAAGCAGCUGUGGCCUUGGCUGCGGUGGUUACCGGGACACAGGCUCAGACUGGAACUGGGGUGGAAUAAGAACCAAAGAAGAGAGCAACCAGUGUAAACCCUGAAUGGGAUUAAAACUUUAUGUGGCUAAAAUGCGACUAAAAUAACAUUUUACACAAGGAUAAACACUACAUAUAAUGGAUUUAGAUGUGAUCUAAACAGAACAUGAGAUAGGUAAAACCACCUCCAGACUGGGUCUUAUGACAAGGUCUAAAACUAGGAAACAGAAAUUAUAUCCAAAAACUGAAACUAGGACUGGGAUUGGUAGGAUUGGAUUUACACUUAAAUUGGGAUUAGGAUUAAAGCUGUGACAGACUGGGAUUGUUUACAAUGUUUGCUGAGGGAAUAAAUCGAGGGUCAUUUCAUCAUUGACAAUACAAUCAUACUUAUUUCUGCAACCAGAGGAGUCGCUCCUCGUAAUUCUGGAAUUGAGAUUGGGUUUUGGAUGGGACUGUGGUUACGUUCUCAAAGUUGGGGAGGGGUUGAAUUAAAGUUGGGACUGGGAAUCUUCCAUUGCAAGAGGCAUUGCUGCUAGAAUCGGGAUUAGAGCUGGGAAAGCGGAACGUAAAUGCUUGGAGUCAGGGAAGGCGAGCACACAAUGGAGGACAUUCUCCUAAAUGUCCCUGUAAGUGCUCCCUAUGAAAUCCUUCCCACAUCCACAAGGUGAAUGGAUUACAGCCAAUAAAAAAGGGAGGGGUGAGAGAGCAAGACUGAAAGAGAGAGAACAUCAAUUCAGCCUCUCAUGAUCACAGAAGGAAUAGGAUUCACUUGAACAGAGGCAUAUGCUCACGCAUAAUACUUUGCGUAGCCGAAUACACAUCACAGCUCUGUCAUUUCAUCUGAAAUUAUGAUGUAACAAGCAAAGCAAAACGUUUGUUUUUUUGGCCUGUUCCUCUAUUGCAUUAAACGAAAAUUGGAUUCAUAUUACUAUUAAUUAACAUAAUGGCACACAGGAUAAUGUUUAUGCAUAUCAAAAUUAUUUAUGAAUUCCUAAUUUGGUUUCUCUGAAAUACGGCUAAUGAAAACUUGAAAAACUGUCAUAGACUUGAAUCCAUCAGUCAAUUAGAGAUGCAGUAACACAGACCUUCACAGGUCAUUUGUGAGAUCUCCUGAACCACCACAAGAGGGUUCUUCUCCCACAGAAAUCACAAAUGCUUUUCACCUGCAAAAUAUACUUGUAUUCUUUAAACUGGAUUCAUUUUGGAUUGUCUUUUUUAUCAUUUACUGUGUGGAGUCUGUAAACAUCACACAUUUAUUGAUAUUAGUUUCCUCAUACAUACACAUUUGAGUAAAGAGCUAAAGAUUCAGUUCCUAGUUUCUCCAUAACUAGGACUUGGGAGUAUUAGUGGGGGUCAUUGAUUCACCGAACAAUGCAUGGUCUAAUUACAACUCUGUUGUUAGACAAGGAUGUGAGACUCAAUGGGGAGGGGAGGAAGUUCAUUGCGGGCCAAGAGAAUAUUCAUCACCUACAUUUUUAUACAAAACGACAACCCCUCCUGGUAUUAGAUAACUUAUGAAUUUUUCUCCAUAAAGCUUUAACCAAUAUGUGUCCCUUUAAAUGUACAUUUAUUAAAGAAAAAACAUAUCCUAAUGCAGCCAGAUGAUAGUAGGUCAAAAACCAUCAACAGUAAUUCGUUCUUUCUUUGUUUCAACGACAUCAACUUUCCUUUUCUUUCCUUUCUCCUCCUUCUUUCUCCUAUUUUCCCCCCUGCCCCACCUUCCUCCUCUCUUUUUUGAUGUGUUUGCUUUCACGGCUUCUGAACGCUCUCUAAUUCCAUCUGGCCACAACAGAGAAGGCGGCACGGUGAGAAAAAGCAUUUCCAUAUGUGCAAAUUAGGGACCCCCCCAACCCCACCUCCCUACACACAAUCACACACAAACACAAGCUGCACCUACCCCCACUGACUGCCAGGGCUGCUAAUGGUGAUCAAGGGGAGGGUUUUUGUUGGGCCUCAGUCGGAGUCUGUAAGUUGUCAUGACUGUAAUGUCUACAUCAACAACUAUGACCUUGGGAGGAUGGACAUAAUUAUUAAUAUGAUGGCAACCUGAUGUCUUGUUAAUAUUAUUAUUAGUAUUAGUUUUAUUAAUGCAUUUCCAAUAGCUUGUGCUGAUUAUAACAGUGGAUUGAAGGAGCUCCACAUGCAGCUUUAUUACCUGUGCUCCGGUUCCAUGUCUGGUGAAUUACAACUUCCACUCGCGUGGCAUGUCUCCAAAAAAUAACAAAUGUUUGCAGUUUAUUUGGUCUGAAGGAAGAGGAGGAAGGAGCAGAGAGACACAUAAUGACAAUUAAUGCCAUCCAUCUCUGCUGAGGAGAGGUCUCCCCCCCGUUCUGUGCUGCUUUCAUUUCAAGCCUCGACGCAUUCAUCGCUUUUGGAUUUCUUGUCUGAAAUACCUUUUAAAAUGAAAAACAAAAAAGUAUUCAUUGUUGAUUUUCUUUUGGGGUGGGGGUGCAUAUAGACAGUUUGUCUAUUGUUUGUCCAUCGGCCUAUCCCUUUCAUUGUACUAAAAAAAACACAACCUGCUUAAUAAAGAUGCAUGUACUGCUGCUGCGACUUGUCCAUGUCAUUCAACCACUCCUUCUCAUCUGUGUAAACUGGGAUCAUUCAAUCAAUACCUCUUUGUAAGCAAGUCUAAGACAGCUAACUAGAUUGUGAAAUAUUAAGGGAUUCCACCUUGUGUGCUAGCAGUCGAUACUGCCACUCUGGAGCCACCAUGCCAUUAAAGCCAGGCGUAAUAGCUGGAGGUGACAUUGGAAUGUCAUAUUUGUGGGUUGGUAUUUGAGGAUAUUUUGUCUGCAUAAGUUCUUUCAACACACAGACACACACGCACACCCACAUGCACAUACAUACAUACAUAUAUACACAUAACAGAAUGACCAUUGUGUUCAUGUUCCAUUUUCUGGCAGUAGAGUUCGCCAAACUAAAUGAAUUCAGGCUAAUUGACUGCGGUUUGCGCAGUAGCAGCUUUGGUGGGGAGGGUUUAAUCUUUAAAAAUAGGGAACCCUCAUAAUAUUAUUAGAUUAUCAUUAUAAAAAUGUACAUCUUUGGCCAAAAAAAUUAUCUACUGUGAAACCACGAUUAUAGCAAAAAUGGAGAUUGUAACUUCCCACCACAAUCUGUUAAGUGAUUAAUGUCAUCUGAAAACAAGAAACCUAAUUCUUAUUUAUAAAUUAUUUAUAUAUAUUAUAAAGGCUGCUGCUUUCUAUCUGUCUCCUUCAGAGUAAAAAUAAAGUUAAACAACUAAGAAGUAGAAGAAGAAAACAACAACAACAACAAACAUGCUGCCUGAUCACCAGGUAGAUUAUCAGAGACAUUGGGGAACCAAUGGCAGCUAUCUACUUGACCUUUGCAUGUACAAGCAGAGAAGAUCACAAGACGGAGGCAGCCAUCAGUAAUAAGGCAGUGAGGCCGCCAUGGAGCAGGGGACGGAGAUGCACCGCAUAAGAGCCAGCUUUGUGUAAGAAAAAUGUUUUUGUUCAUCAAUAGUGUUGUGUGUGUGUGUGUGUGUGUGUGUGUGUGUUACAAGCAGUGCUGCUCAAAGUGAGGCCUAAAGAAGCCUUGAGGGGCCAAGGGGAAAACUUGGGCCCCCCAUGACCCCUCCUGUGGCUGGGGCCCAGCUGUGCUUUACUGGGCAUCUGCCAGCUAGAGGACAAAUCCGUCCGCAGCAACACACACACACACACACACACACACACACAAACAUACGCAUGCACGCACCUACUUACAUUGUUGAAAAGACAUUCACAUAAAAGACAUACUUGCACACAUGUGCUAUACACACAGACAUUUGCAGUGAUCGGUUUGUUUGUUUCAUAGGGGCAUAUCCUCUUUGAGCAUGAUAGAGGGUAGUUGUGGUGUGAGGAAAAUCCUCUCAGUGCAUCUCUCUGAAGGAGAAAAAUCAAAUCAAAUCAAAUCCUUUGUUUUCCCCAACAACAAACCCAAGAGCCGUACUCAACAAUCACUCACUCCAAUGGCUCACACAAUUGCCAAAGCGAUAACAUCCUAGGCAAAGAAACAACACAAAAUAUUUCUAUUGUGAGACAACCGUACAAGAGCAUUUCAGAUGAGGUUGGCUAUGCAAAUUUGCUAUCUGGAAAAAUUAGCCAUCCUUGUUUGUCAAUGUCCAACUACCCCCAUGAUAACUUCAAUUACAUGACAUGGCAAGAAGUAUAUGGACACAUGAACUUCCCACCAGUUAUGAUAUUCAAAAUUCUCAACAAUGGUCGACAAUUAUAGUUUUUAUUCCUGCCAACUAACAUAUGUCAAGCUUUCCAGUAAUAACCAUUGACUGUAUCAGUGUUUGUGGUAACCAUACAGCAACCUUUGUUUUUGGACUAGUUUGUUUAAAUAUGCAUUGGAAACUGAAAAAACACUGCAAAAGGGGCUUGUUUGACCUUCCAAUCACCUUGGAGCCUCACGUAACACAGCCCCUACUUUAUGGUCGGUAUUACUCUAAAUGGAUCAUUACAUUAAAUUUCAUUUAGCU